rnacentral:rRNA from 1 species
AUUGAACGCUGGCGGCAGGCCUAACACAUGCAAGUCGAGCGGAGCGGCGGACGGGUGAGUAAUGCCUAGGAAUCUGCCUGGUAGUGGGGGAUAACGUACGGAAACGGGCGCUAAUACCGCAAAAUAUCAGAUGAGCCUAGGUCGGAUUAGCUAGUUGGUGGGGUAAAGGCCUACCAAGGCGACGAUCCGUAACUGGUCUGAGAGGAUGAGCAGUUAGACUGGAACUGAGACACCGUCCAGCCUCCUACGGUAGGCAGCAGUGGGGAAUCUUUGACAAUUGGCGAAAUCCUUAUCCAGCCCUGCCGCGUGUUUGAAGAAGUUCUUCGGAUUGUAAAGCUCUUUAAGUUGGGAGGCGUUACCAACAGAAUAAGCCCCGGCUAACUUCGUGCCAGCCGCCGCGGUAAUAC